GGUAGCAUGCAAAUAUGGAUAUGAGCUCCGUCAAAAAGUGNNNNNNNNNNNNNNNGUCGCUGCGUUUCAAUUUGAACCCGAAAUAGGUAAUGUGACAUUCGAUAAAGGAUGAUAAGUAUAUCACAAAAUCGUGUCGCAAUGGUAUCACGACGAUACGGACGAUCGUUCUCACUCCACACUACAUGCACUUCAUCGUUACCCAAAUGCUUCAAUUUCUGAGUAAUAUCUCCUAAAAUUUUAAAAAUCUAAAGUAAUAGAUAAAACUAUAUAUGCAAUAGUAACCACGACUCUUCUUAAAGGUAGCCAAAUGCCUCGUCAUUUAAUUCGUGACGUGCAGGAAUGGAUUAACGAGAUUUCCACUGUCCCUAUCUAUUAUCUAGCGAAACCACAGCCAGCAAUAUAAACAGGGAAAAAAAAACCUUAUAUAUAA
rnacentral:ncRNA from 1 species